rnacentral:rRNA from 1 species
UACGUAGGUGGCAAGCGUUGUCCGGAAUUACUGAGCGUAAAGCGUGCGCAGGCGGUUGUGCAAGACAGAUGUGAAAUCCCCGGGCUUAACCUGGGAACUGCAUUUGUGACUGCACGGCUGGAGUGCGGCAGAGGGGGAUGGAAUUCCGCGUGUAGCAGUGAAAUGCGUAGAUAUGCGGAGGAACACCGAUGGCGAAGGCAAUCCCCUGGGCCUGCACUGACGCUCAUGCACGAAAGCGUGGGGAGCAAACAGG